UACAGAGGUGGCAAGCGUUGUUCGGAAUUACUGGGCGUAAAGGGCGAGUAGGUGGCCAUCUAAGUCAGACGUGAAAUCCCCCGGCUUAACCUGGGAACUGCGUCUGAUACUGGACGGCCUGAGUAUGGGAGAGGAAUGUAGAAUUCCAGGUGUAGCGGUGAAAUGCGUAGAUAUCUGGAGGAAUACCGGUGGCGAAGGCGGCAUUCUGGACCAUUACUGACACUGAAUCGCGAAAGCUAGGGGAGCAAACGGG
rnacentral:rRNA from 1 species